rnacentral:rRNA from 1 species
UACGGAGGGUGCGAGCGUUGUCCGGAAUCAUUGGGCGUAAAGGGCGCGUAGGCGGCUUCUCAAGCGUGCGGUGAAAGUCAGGGGCUCAACCCCUGAUCGGCCGUGCGAACUGGGGGGCUGGAGCACUGUAGAGGCAGGCGGAAUUCCGGGUGUAGCGGUGGAAUGCGUAGAGAUCCGGAGGAACACCAGAGGCGAAGGCGGCGCGCUGGGCUGCACCUGACGCUGAACCACGAAAGCCAGGGUAGCGAACGGG